UGCUCGGAUUGGUGCCACCACCACUGCCUGCUUCUUGAUUUUUUUUUAGCAGUCACAGUUUCAUAUCUUCUAGAUAUAUUUCAAGCCUCCAACAGUGGCAAAGUUCUGUCUAUAAAUUGCAACCCUAAAUAUCCAUUUCCAUUGCCAAAUUAAAUCUUCAGAUAUCAAGUUAAUUAAUUGUUAUUUAGCUGAAAGUUUUAAUGAUCAAUGAAGAUCUUACGAGCUGUCUUAGUUGCUUUCUUGUUGAUCUUGGCAACGCUGCGAGCUGAUGCUUUCAUGACGGAGAAUAAGAUGAUGAUCAACCGCCGUCUCUUGAGCGAGCCUACAUAUCCUGGACCUAGCAACACAGAGACUAGUGGCGGUGGGGAUGGUGAACUCAACACUGGCUAUAACAACCAUGGAAGUCCUUCGGGAACUGAGAACCACCACUGUUAUGACACAGACCAUCGAACAAGCAAUAUGAGAUGUAACAGAAAUAAAUGAAGGGAAAAACAAAGACUAAGACAUAAAAUUUAAAGUCAGAACAUGUAAUAAUGAAAAGCCUGUGUAAGAAAUAGUGAGCUUAGCUUGUAAUAAAGCAGGAGUUACAUGUAACUCCCUGCCAAAUGUAUUGUUCCACGUGAACAUGUAUCAUAUUAUGAUGCAAGUCUCCGGCUUCUAUGCCAAAAAAAUUGUGGUAGACUUUGCGUAGAAUAAUAAGAGAACAUAAUGACCUUACUGCUUGGCA